UGGAUACUCCCUCCAUCUUAAAAUUCUUGUCUUACAUUUGUCUAGAUACGGAUGUAUCUAACACUAAAAUGUAACUAGAUGCAUCUGUAUUUAGACAAAUCUAAGACAAGAAUUUUGAGAUGGAGGGAGUAUUAG
rnacentral:pre_miRNA from 1 species